CCAAUAGCGUAUAUUAAAGUUGUUGCAGUUAAAAAGCUCGUAGUUGAACUUCGGGGUUUACUCAUUGGUCAGGCUUAAUUGUCUGUACUGGUGAGAUGAAUCUCUACCUUCUGAGGAACUUUCAUGCCAUUUAUUUGGUGUGAUGGGAAAUCAGUACUGUUACUUUGAAAAAAUUAGAGUGUUUAAAGCAGGCUAACGUCUGAAUACAUUAGCAUGGAAUAAUGAAAUAGGACGGACUGAUUCUAUUUCGUUGGUUUCUAGGAUCACCGUAAUGAUUAAUAGGGAUAGUUGGGGGCAUUAGUAUUCAAUUGUCAGAGGUGAAAUUCUUGGAUUUAUUGAAGACUAACUACUGCGAAAGCAUUUGCCAAGGAUGUUUUCAUUAAUCAAGAACGAAAGUUAGGGGAUCGAAGACGAUCAGAUACCGUCGUAGUCUUAACCAUAAACUAUGCCGACUAGGGAUCGGACGAAGUUAAUUUUAUAAUGACGCGUUCGGCACCUUACG
rnacentral:rRNA from 1 species